GAUGAAGAACGUAGCGAAAUGCGAUAAGUAAUGUGAAUUGCAGAAUUCCGUGAAUCAUCGAAUCUUUGAACGCACAUUGCGCCCUCUGGUAUUCCGGGGGGCAUGCCUGUCCGAGCGUCAUUUGCAACCCUCAAGCCCGGCUUGUGUGAUGGGUGCCGUCCCCUACGGGACGCGCCCCGAAGGCACUGGCGGCGUCGCGGUUAUCCGAUCAGCCAAAGUGUAUGGGGCUUUGUCACUCACUUUACGGCCCGGACCGGCGCCAGUCCGAAUCAAUCUUUUUUCUAAAGUUGACCUCGGAUCAGGUAGGGAUACCCGCUGAACUUAAGCAUAUCAAUAAGCGGAGGA
rnacentral:misc_RNA from 1 species